rnacentral:tRNA from 1 species
GGCCCGUUAGCUCAGUUGGUUAGAGCGUCGUGCUAAUAACGCGAAGGUCGCGGGUUCGAUCCUCUCACGGGCCA